AGGGUGUUUGUUGUGGGGGGGGGAGGGAAAGGAGAUUGUCAGCCCCUUUGAGUCUCCUACAGAGAGAAAGGGGGGAUAUAAAUCCAAACUCUUCAUCUUCUUCUUCUUCAUAAGGCAGAGUCUAUCAUAUCAAAUCUCUCUAAGGACCCACCCCUUCCUAGACUCCAGCUCUAGCAGAAAGAUAGAGCAGGCCACAAAAGGAGCUGCCAGCUGCCACCAGAUGAAUGAAGGCAUAGAUUGCCAAGCAAGAAUAUUAUGGGAAAACCUGGAUUUUUCAAUUGAAGGAAAAACAGUGAGAAAUCUGGCUCUGGAUCAUUUCGCUGCAAGGAGGAAGGGGCCCAUAUAGUCCUCUUUUUAAAAUUCUGUUGGUGCUUCAUGGUGCUCUGAUUUGGAGAAAUGACAACCAAGUGAGUAUCUCAGAUGGAAAUGGGAGAGACGGAAGAAGAGAGAUUGUUGUUGCACCUUGUGGAAAAUAUGGUAGAUGUGGAUUCUACAGUGUGGAUUCCUUAUGCAGUCCAGCUCCACACGGUUCCCUACUCAUAUGAAUUCAGAUUCUUGCUUUGUUACACAAGAAAAUAUCUGGGGUAUUUUGCCACUAUGAAGUGCUGCUGUGCCGUAGACUCUGGCUUAAAAGGAAGGAAAACAAAUAACAGGAAGACAAAACGUAUCACCAACUGUCAUAGUGGAUUUGAAGGAACGGUCCUAUGGUCCCAUGCCUGAUUCCUAUGGUCCUGUGGGGUUCCUUGUGCAUCCACUGGAGACUUUUCCCAGUGUCAAGGUAAGGAACAAAGGCAGAAGAUUCAGAAAGUCAGGAACAGGAAUCAGAAGUCAAGUACUAGGGCCGUGGUGGCGAACCUUUGGCACUUCAGAUGUUAUGGACUACAAAGGUGGCGAACCUUUGGCACUCCAGAUGUUAUAGACUACAAAGGUUUGCCACCACUGUACUAGGAGGUAUUGUUAGAAUGAGGAGUGAGUCAAAAAGACAGAACCACAGGGGAAUCAGAGUGCAUGCAUAGGGAUGCUGAUGGCACGAGACACUCACUCCCUGCAGGUGCGCGACAAGAAGUACUUUCAAAUAACAGUGAAAUAUAAAACUUGAAAGCUGAACAAUGGCUCGUGACCCAGCAGGUUCAGAUCUGCUGCUCAUGUGAGGGUCCCAAUCCAUGGACUGAUAAUGAGUGCGGUACUUACUUUUUGUUGCGCUGAUCUGUUAAUUAUUAUUUCUGUAAAGUGUUGGUCCGUUCCAUCUCAGGCAGGUACAUGUGGUGUGAGUGUGAUGCUAGAUUAAAUGCCCACCCGUCUCUCAGUAAGAACAGUCUUUCCUUGAACCAGGAAUCAAAGAUAUCAAGACUUAAAUUUGUUUAAAAGAAGUGGAGUUUUUUAGCCAUGAUUUAUAUUUCUGACAACUUCCUAUCUUCAUAAAACAGUAAGAUACGGCGAAACGAAUGGGAAAGUGUUCAUGCCAUUGUGAAAGCCAGAACGAUUAUAGAGAGAUCAGUUCUGGACAGUGCAAAUAAAACGUUUUCAGAAAUCUUUGCUUUCAGUCCAUCUGAACAUCUGUAUAUCUGAUUCCCACGUGUGUCCUCUCCUUGAGGAUGCUUAAAUCCGCAGACAGGGAGCACAUUUCUCCCGACAGGUUUUUUCUGCAGAGAUGCAGGACCCUCUGGGCCUGCAGAAAAAUCCAUAGAGUUUUUGAAAAUAAACAAGAGAUUUAAAUCCCUUUCAAAACUAAAUAAAAUGUUGUCUGCGUAUGUGCAGACAGCACACUUACUCCCUCAGAGCCCAGCGGCAGUUGUAGUGGUGGAGGAGCCUGGGAUCCACAGCGGCCGGCACAGGGAUGCACACUGGGCUCACUGUCAUAUUCAGGCACUGCAGAGAUCCAGGGCAGAUCUUAGGAACUGGUAGUGAAUCCUGUCCACAGCAGAGCCCAGGAGCACAGAGGAGCCCGGGAGCAACAAAGCCCGUCUAAGGCAGUGGAGCCUGGGAGCUGGCAGUAGGGACUCCUCCCCCCACCCCCCAUCACUGUAAGACUAGCAAUGGGAAGGGAUCCCCCCCCCCCCCCAUGAGUUUCACGGGCCUCUAUUUGUGCAUCCUAAUUUUAAAAGAUGGAAUGGGACAACAACCAUACAGCUGUCCUUCCUGUGCAAGCUAUUAUUUUGUCUGUAUCUCAUGGAUGGGGCACAGGUAUGACGCAACUGCUGGUGAAAUGGGACAGGACUGGGAGGCCCGCUGUAAUGCCACUGGCAAAUGAUGAUCAUCCUUGCAUGUGAAUCAUGUCACUGUUUGUAUUGUGAAACCGCUAGUCUCUGGUCUAGUAUUGUCUGCUACAGCUGGCAACAACUCAUCAAGGAUAUCAGCCAGAUGUUCAGCUACCUGAAAUCUUUUCGACUGCAGUUGUUGGGAGUUGAAACUGAGGUCUUUUUGUAUGCAGCAUGUAUGAGCAUGUAUUCCACGUAUGGGGGAGCUUAUGGUCUUUCUCUGUGCCACAUGAAGAUGUCUUACAAUGUCAGGCCAGUGGUUAGUUGGUCUGUCUGGUCCUGUCUUUGGCUGGUAGUGGCUUUGCAGGAGUUUUGGGCUUAGGUAUGAUGGGCUAUGCCCAUUUUUCCCCCUGCUCCGGUGACUCUUUGCAGGCAUAGGGGAUCAAAUGCAUGCAUGGAGCUUUGCCAUUCACUUUCACCUAAGGGCAACUCUGCCAUAGUGUUCUGGUUGUGUGCUAGGAAAGUGAAUGGUGCACUCAAUGUAUACCAGAAUUGUACAUGAAUAUUCAGAUGAUCUACAGAGUCCACGCUAGGAAUACUUGGUUUUCCUGUGGUCGAUAGUUUUAUGUAGUGCUAAUUGUUCACCAGAGAAAGAUUUGGCAGCGUGCAUCCUGUUGACUCUUUCCCUUUGUAAUGUAAAUGUGUAUUUAUUGAACACAAAAAUUUGCAAGUCAUGAAUCGGUGAAAAAUAAAGUUCAUUUUAUCAUGAAAA